GCAUAUCAAUAAGCGGAGGAAAAGAAACCAACAGGGAUUGCCCCAGUAACGGCGAGUGAAGCGGCAACAGCUCAAAUUUGAAAUCUGGCCCCAGGCCCGAGUUGUAAUUUGCAGAGGAUGCUUUUGGCGCGGUGCCUUCCGAGUUCCCUGGAACGGGACGCCAUAGAGGGUGAGAGCCCCGUACGGUUGGACACCAAGCCUUUGUAAAGCUCCUUCGACGAGUCGAGUAGUUUGGGAAUGCUGCUCUAAAUGGGAGGUACAUUUCUUCUAAAGCUAAAUAUUGGCCAGAGACCGAUAGCGCACAAGUAGAGUGAUCGAAAGAUGAAAAGCACUUUGAAAAGAGGGUUAAACAGCACGUGAAAUUGUUAAAAGGGAAGCGCUUGUGACCAGACUUGCGUCCGGUGAAUCACCCAGCUCUCGCGGCUGGGGCACUUCGCCGGCACAGGCCAGCAUCAGCUUGCCGUCGGGGACAAAAGCUUCAGGAACGUAGCUCCUCUCGGGGAGUGUUAUAGCCUGUUGUAUAAUACCCUUCGGCGGGCUGAGGUACGCGCUCCGCAAGGAUGCUGGCGUAAUGGUCAUCAGCGACCCGUCUUGAAACACGGACCAAGGAGUCAACCUUAUGUGCGAGUGUUUGGGUGUUAAACCCCUACGCGUAAUGAAAGUGAACGCAGGUGAGAGCUUCGGCGCAUCAUCGACCGAUCCUGAUGUUCUCGGAUGGAUUUGAGUAAGAGCAUAUAGGGUUGGACCCGAAAGAAGGUGAACUAUGCGUGUGUAGGGUGAAGCCAGAGGAAACUCUGGUGGAGGCUCGCAGCGGUUCUGACGUGCAAAUCGAUCGUCAAACAUGCGCAUGGGGGCGAAAGACUAAUCGAACCUUCUAGUAGCUGGUUUCCGCCGAAGU
rnacentral:rRNA from 1 species